rnacentral:lncRNA from 1 species
GAAAUAAAAUGAUGUUAAAUUAACUGCUGCAUGUACAAUUAGCCUGCAGGUACUUUAUUUUAUUGAAGCUGAUUUUUUUUUAAUUUUUUUUUUAUUUUUUUGAGCCAGAUUCUAUCACAGGUGCCCCCAAAGGCAGACUUGCUCCUGGCAGAAAGACAUCAGUAUCCAUGCAGGCUGACCACAUUCUGACAAUCAUACACAGCUCACCAUCAAUAAAUAAAGAGGCUGUGGUUUCCCCUUCAUGAGAAACCCUUUUCCUUUCUGUCAGUAGGUUGAUUCUUCAAACAAAACAAAACAAAACAACAACAACAACAAAGAAAUGGAGAAAACCUACAUGAUAAUGCUCAAGGGAGGCAACAUCUUAUCUCACUCCAGGAUUAUGAGAUUCAAAUUUAGACGGCUGAA